rnacentral:rRNA from 1 species
GAUGAACGCUAGCGGCAGGCUUAAUACAUGCAAGUCGAGGGACAGCACAGGUAGCAAUACUGGGUGGUAACCGGCAAACGGGUGCGGAACACGUACACAACCUUCCUUUAAGUGGGGGAUAGCCCAGAGAAAUUUGGAUUAAUACCCCGUAAUAUAGUUGAAUGGCAUCAUUUGAUUAUUAUAGCUACGGCGCUUAAUGAUGGGUGUGCGGCUGAUUAGAUAGUUGGCGGGGUAACGGCCCACCAAGUCUACGAUCAGUAGCUGAUGUGAGGGCAUGAUCAGCCACACGGGCACUGGGACACGGGCCCGACUCCUACGGGAGGCAGCAGUAAGGAAUAUUGGUCAAUGGACGCAAGUCUGAACCAGCCAUGCCGCGUGAAGGAUUAAGGUCCUCUGGAUUGUAAACUUCUUUUAUUUGGGACGAAAAAGGGCCUUUCUAGGUCAACUGACGGUACCAGAUGAAUAAGCACCGGCUAACCCCGUGCCAGCCGCCGCAGUAAAAC